rnacentral:tRNA from 1 species
GGGAAGGUAGUUCAGUGGUAGAGUGCUUGCCUAGCAAGCACGAGAUCGUGGGUUCAAAUCUUCCAUACCA